GGUGUGUGAGAACAUUGGGAGAAAUUAUAUUGUAUACAGUGUUUAUCAUGUUGCAAUGUAUACCGGCAAUCAUAGCCAUUCGCUUCUGUAGGUUCCAUCCAUCAAGCACUUAUCCCAGUGCAUUACUACAGAAAGGUGACUAUAGAAUGUGACUGUGAUUGGCUACAUUUCUCAAGCAUUGGAUAUGUAAGAGUUGGCC
rnacentral:lncRNA from 1 species